CCUACGGGGGGCUGCAGUGGGGAAUAUUGGACAAUGGGGGGAACCCUGAUCCAGCCAUGCCGCGUGUGUGAAGAAGGCCCUCGGGUUGUAAAGCACUUUCAGUGAGGAAGAACGCCUGGUGGUUAAUACCCAUCAGGAAAGACAUCACUCACAGAAGAAGCACCGGCUAACUCCGUGCCAGCAGCCGCGGUAAUACGGAGGGUGCGAGCGUUAAUCGGAAUUACUGGGCGUAAAGCGCGCGUAGGUGGCUUGAUAAGCCGGUUGUGAAAGCCCCGGGCUCAACCUGGGAACGGCAUCCGGAACUGUCAAGCUAGAGUGCAGGAGAGGAAGGUAGAAUUCCCGGUGUAGCGGUGAAAUGCGUAGAGAUCGGGAGGAAUACCAGUGGCGAAGGCGGCCUUCUGGACUGACACUGACACUGAGGUGCGAAAGCGUGGGUAGCAAACAGGAUUAGAUACCCGUGUGUC
rnacentral:rRNA from 1 species